rnacentral:ncRNA from 2 species
CUUUUAUCAUGAGAGGUGGAGGGACCGGCCCGAUGAAGCCUCGGCAACCACUAAAUAUAUUGGAAGGUGCCAAGUCCGGCAGCAAAAGCUGAAAGAUGAGAG